rnacentral:rRNA from 1 species
UUGUUGACAAGUUAACCAACCCCGGCACGGAAUGUGCCAAGGAAAAAGAAAACAAAAGAAGGUUGUACCCGGUUUUUGCCCCGUUCGCGGUGUGCAUGCUGGUUGUGACCUCUUUGAAACAAAAACGACUCUCGGCAACGGAUAUCUCGGCUCACGCAUCGAUGAAGAACGUAGCAAAAUGCGAUACUUGGUGUGAAUUGCAGAAUCCCGUGAACCAUCGAGUUUUUGAACGCAAGUUGCGCCCAAAGCCAUCCGGUUGAGGGCACGCCUGCCUGGGCGUCACGCAUCGCGUCGCUCCCCCAUGUAUAUCAGAUUUGGGAUGCAUGGUGUCGGGGCGGAGAUUGGUCUCCCGUGAACCUGUUGCGGUUGGCCCCAACAUGAGUCACCUUCGGUUGACGCACGGCUAGUGGUGGUUGAAUAGGCCCUUGUCUUUUGUUGUGCGUCAUUUGCUGCAAGGAAAGCUCUUGUAUAAGACCCUAAUG